rnacentral:rRNA from 2 species
UUGAAGGUUGGGUAACACUAACUGGAGGACCGAACCGACUAAUGUUGAAAAAUUAGCGGAUGACCUGUGGCUGGGGGUGAAAGGCCAAUCAAACCGGGAGAUAGCUGGUUCUCCCCGAAAGCUAUUUAGGUAGCGCCUCGUGAAUUCAUCUCCGGGGGUAGAGCACUGUUUCGGCUAGGGGGCCAUCCCGGCUUACCAACCCGAUGCAAACUGCGAAUACCGGAGAAUGUUAUCACGGGAGACACACGGCGGGUGCUAACGUCCGUCGUGAAGAGGGAAACAACCCAGACCGCCAGCUAAGGUCCCAAAGUCAUGGUUAAGUGGGAAACGAUGUGGGAAGGCCCAGACAGCCAGGAUGUUGGCUUAGAAGCAGCCAUCAUUUAAAGAAAGCGUAAUAGCUCACUGGUCGAGUCGGCCUGCGCGGAAGAUGUAACGGGGCUAAACCAU